GGUGCCAGCAGCCGCGGUAAUUCCAGCUCCAAUAGCGUAUAUUAAAGUUGUUGCAGUUAAAAGCUCGUAGUUGAAUUUCGAGAUCAAAUUGUUGGUCGUGCCUUGGUACGCACUGGCAUUAUUGGUUUCUCCCUUCUGAAGAACCAAGAUGUCAUUAAUUUGGUGUCUUGGGGAAUCAGGACUGUUACUUUGAAAAAAUUAGAGUGUUUAAAGCAGGCUCGCGCUUGAAUACAUUAGCAUGGAAUAAUGAAAUAGGACGUUUGAUUCUAUUUUGUUGGUUUCUAGGGAUCGACGUAAUGAUUAAUAGGGAUAGUUGGGGGCAUUAGUAUUCAAUUGUCAGAGGUGAAAUUCUUGGAUUUAUUGAAGACUAACUACUGCGAAAGCAUUUGCCAAGGAUGUUUUCAUUAAUCAAGAACGAAAGUUAGGGGGAUCGAAGACGAUCAGAUACCGUCGUAGUCUUAACCAUAAACUAUGCCGACUAGGGGAUCGGAUGAUGUUAAUUUUUUUAAUGACUCAUUCGGUGCCUUACG
rnacentral:rRNA from 1 species